rnacentral:lncRNA from 1 species
UUCACAUAUUUCUUCUCCACUCUCUAUCUGGAAGUUCCUGGUCAUAUCGGAGCAUCCCUCUAAUUUCCAAACAUUCUAAGGAUCACUUGUUAGUGUUCCUUUCCAGCUCUUUUCGUUUUUAUAGGCUUUUAUAAGACGAAAGUCAAGCAAAUUGACUUUUGCUUUGACUUUCAUUUUAGACCAUUAUGGUCCAGCAAUUGUUCGAAUCGAACAUGGCUACGUGAUCGUAAUAAGCUCAUCCAAUACCCGAUACCGACUAUGCACGCUUGGGAUACGGUAAAUUCUUACUGCUUGGUCAGGCAUGCGAUCAAAUGUUGGAUUGUGACUAGAAAAUCCACAUAACCUGUUUUAAUUUAUUUUGUCUGAUAUCCUCAGCUCAUUUAAUGGCAAAUGGCCACGACUUAAGCAUGGGGUGUAGGCAUACACCUGACAGAUGUUAAUGCUAUUAUAAAAUAUUUUCUACCCAUAUUGGGGAUACCUUUUUAUGGGUUAAAAGCGGUGUGUCGGUUAAUCAUGUUAUUUAGUUUCUGUACAAGGCCUCAUAUGUAUUAACAGGCAUGUAAAACUGUAUACAAGAUAAUUGUUAUUGUCCCAAGUUAUUUAUAAAAUUACAUGUGCCUUUGUGCACUUAAAACAAUUUGAAAUAUUUUCAAAAUUUGUCGGUUACUUGUGUCUAACGAUGUAAACUGACGUAUCUUCAAAAGACUAAGUGACAGGUUCCAAGGUUACAAAAUAGGCUGGAAGUGCCAGUAAUGCUUAAGAGGAAUUUGUGACUCCUUGCAUUAGAAGCCUAUUAGUCUGUUAUUUCAUUUUGUACAUUUACGAUCCGCCUGUGGAUCUUUUGAUACAUUAUCCGUCUGUAUAAUAUUUUGAACACUCGGACAUUUAUAUUGUAAUAUUUUAAAUCCAAGACUUCC